AUGCACAAGCUUCUGCAACUCCGUCAGAGCGGCACCGUCAGCGAGUACCGUCAAGCGUUCGACGGCCACAUGUACCACCUAUUGGCGUUGGAUCCCUCGCUCUCCACCAAGUUCUUCAUCACGCAGUUUCUGCUGGGCCUCAAAGACGAAUUGCGUGCAGCCGUGCGCCUCCAGGCUCCAACAAGCAUCACACGCGCGUCAAUCCUCGCCCGCAUUCAGGAGGAAGAAUUGAACACACCGCGGGCGCGGCCACGACCGCAACCGCAAGGCCGUCCACCUCCGGUGCCACAAGCACGACCAGGCGCGGCACCACGACAACAGCCCGACGACUAUGCACGCGAGCGCCAACUCAAGGAAUUUCGCCGCGCCAACGGGCUCUGCUUCAAAUGUGGUGAUUGUUACAGCCGGGAGCACCGCUGCAACCCACAAGCGCAACUGCUCACGAUCCAGGUGGGCGCAUACGGAGAAGUGCUCACCGACGACACCGUCCAUGCACUGGAUUUGCUCGAGCCGCAGGAACCAGCAGUUCCUCCUCCUCCGGAGUGCUGCACUAUAUCAGCACACGCGCUGGACGGCUCAGAGGCACCCAGUACCAUCCGUCUCCGCGCUCUGGUGGGCAAUCAGGUCAUGCUGCUUCUGCUGGAUUCCGGGAGUACACACAGUUUCAUCAACAAGACCUUUGUCGAGCGCGUCGGCGCCACUACACAGGAGAUCGACACAUUGGAUGUGCGUGUGGCGAACGGCGAUCGCCUCACCUGUUCGCGCCAGGUCCCUGACCUCAAAUGGUGGAUGCAGGGUCACACCUUCUCGACACUGAUGUAUGAACUCGACACGGGCGCCUAUGACGGCAUCCUCGGCAUGGAUUGGUUGGAGAAAAACAGCCCAAUGAUGUGCCACUGGCAAGAAAAAUUCAUCUCCUUCACCCACGACGGGGAACUGGUCACUCUACAAGGUGUUCGACCAAAGACGACGCCAACGUUAGCGGCAGUUCAACCAGCUGAGUUGUGCAAACUGAUUGCAGGCAAUGACAUUUGGGCAAUGGCCAUGGUGGAAAUGCAGCCACCUAAACCCAAGUUUCGCAUACCAUCACUGACACCGAUCAGUGAUCUAUUGGAGGAGUUUGGCGAUGUUUUCGCCAAGCCCAUUGGCCUACCCCCUCACAGGCAGUACGAUCACGCAGUUACUUUGGAAGAAGGGGCUCAACCCACCAACACCAGACCGUAUCGCUAUUCUCCACUGCAGAAAGAUGAAAUAGAGCGACAAGUGAAAGAGAUGCUCGAUGCUGGGGUGAUCACGCACUCUAUCAGUCCCUACGCUGCUCAUGUUCUGUUAGUGAAGAAGAAGGAUGGGACUUGGCGAUUUUGCGUGGACUACAGACGCCUCAACGACAACACGGUGAAGAACAAAUUUCCCUUGCCGAUCGUGGACGAGCUGCUCGAUGAACUGGCCGGUGCGGCAUUCUUCUCCAAGCUCGAUCUGCGUGUAGGCUAUCAGCAAAUUCGCAUGCGGGAAGAGGAUGAACACAAGACCGCAUUCAAGACACACCACGGCCACUUCCAGUUCCACGUCAUGCCGUUCGGGUUGACGAAUGCGCCAGCAACAUUUCAAUGCUUGAUGAAUGCAAUCUUUGCCAAGUAUACACGUAAGUUUGUCAUAAUCUUCCUUGACGACAUUCUAGUUUUUAGUGAGACACUGGAAGAACAUCUGGAACACCUCCCCCUCAUCCUCAGCUUGCUUCGGGAGCACCAGCUUUAUGCCAAGAUGUUGAAGUGCUCUUUUGCACAAGACCAUAUCGACUACCUUGGCCACAUCAUCUCCAAACAA
rnacentral:rRNA from 1 species